rnacentral:misc_RNA from 1 species
AACCAUAGAAACCUGCGGAGUACCUGCGGAAGGAUCAUUACAAGUGACCCCGGUCUAACCACCGGGAUGUUCAUAACCCUUUGUUGUCCGACUCUGUUGCCUCCGGGGCGACCCUGCCUUCGGGCGGGGGCUCCGGGUGGACACUUCAAACUCUUGCGUAACUUUGCAGUCUGAGUAAACUUAAUUAAUAAAUUAAAACUUUCAGCAACGGAUCU